UUUGUACUCCCUCCGUCCAAAAAUACUUGUCAUCAAAAUGAAUAAAAGGGGGUGUAUCUAGAUGUAUAUUAGUUCUAGAUACAUCCCCUUUUAUCCAUUGAUGACAAGUAUUUUUGGACGGAGGGAGUACAAA
rnacentral:pre_miRNA from 1 species